GAGCACUCUAUGCUUCCCUAUGCUAAAAUCCUUUAUGGAAAUGCCUUCAUGCGGUGCAAAAAGUACGAGGUUGGGUGUGGGGGACAGUUAUGCAUGUCAUUUUGUCCAAUAAGUUAGAGAAUAAAAUCACUUUAUCCCUGAGGAGCAAUUGAAGGGCUUAGAGCAGACAUAAACAUUAUAAUCU